CCCCUAGAUGUUCUGGGCCGCACGCGCGCUACACUGAACAGUUCAACAAGUCUUAACCUUGGCCGAUAGGUCUGGGUAAUCUUUGAACGCUGUUCGUGAUUGGGAUAGACCUUUGCAAUUAUGGGUCUUCAACGAGGAAUUCCUAGUAAACGCAAGUCAUCAGCUUGCAUUGAUUGCGUCCCUGCCCUUUGUACACACCGCCCGUCGCACCUACCGAUUGAAUGGUCCGGUGAAAUCUCGGGACGGCGGCUUGGUCGCUUGCGUCCGACUGCUGAAACUUGAUUAAACCAUAUCAUUUAGAGGAAGGUGAAGUCGUAACA
rnacentral:rRNA from 1 species